UUGAAUAAACUUGGUUGGGUUGUUGCUGGCUUUCUGAGCAUGUGCACGCCUGAUCCAUCUUUAACCACCAGUGCACAUUGUGUAGAAUCUGAGAAACUCGAGGCAACUCGGUUUGAGACUUGCUGAGCGCACGCCAGCUUUUCUUGUAAUCGGAUCUACGUUUCUACAUACUCCAUAUGAAUGUAUUAGAAUGUCGUAAUUGGCUCAGUGCCUUUAAAAUAAAUA
rnacentral:misc_RNA from 1 species